rnacentral:rRNA from 1 species
GACGAACGCUGGCGGCGUGCUUAACACAUGCAAGUCGAACGGUAAGGCCCUUUCGGGGGUCCACGAGUGGCGAACGGGUGCGUAACACGUGGGUGAUCUGCCCUGCACUUUGGGAUAAGCCUGGGAAACUGGGUCUAAUACCGGAUAGGACUACGCGAUGCAUGUCGUGUGGUGGAAAGCUUUUGCGGUGUGGGAUGGGCCCGCGGCCUAUCAGCUUGUUGGUGGGGUGAUGGCCUACCAAGGCGACGACGGGUAGCCGGCCUGAGAGGGUGUCCGGCCACACUGGGACUGAGAUACGGCCCAGACUCCUACGGGAGGCAGCAGUGGGGAAUAUUGCACAAUGGGCGCAAGCCUGAUGCAGCGACGCCGCGUGGGGGAUGACGGCCUUCGGGUUGUAAACCCCUUUCAGCACAGACGAAGCGUAAGUGACGGUAGGUGCAGAAGAAGCACCGGCCAACUACGUG